CAGCCGCCGCGGUAAUACGUAGGUGGCAGGCGUUGUCCGGAAUUAUUGGGCGUAAAGGGCUCGCAGGCGGUUUCUUAAGUCUGAUGUGAAAGCCCCCGGCUCAACCGGGGAGGGUCAUUGGAAACUGGGAAACUUGAGUGCAGAAGAGGAGAGUGGAAUUCCACGUGUAGCGGUGAAAUGCGUAGAGAUGUGGAGGAACACCAGUGGCGAAGGCGACUCUCUGGUCUGUAACUGACGCUGAGGAGCGAAAGCGUGGGGAGCGAACAGGAUUAGAUACCCCAGUAGUCCCUGUCUCUUAUAC
rnacentral:rRNA from 1 species